CAAAGUGCCAGGAUUAUAGGUGUGAGCCACAGCACCUGGUCCCUUUUUCUUUUUUAUGUCUAUUUGGGUCCCAUACACUCAACAGCUCAACAGAAGAAAGGGCUGUGGCUGGACAGAGUGGGCCAUGCCGCUUGCCUCUUACAGGAACUAUCGCCUUAAUCACUUUCUUCUUGCUUUUAAUUUAUUUUUUGAGUAACAUUAAACAUUCACACACAUACUCACAUACUUAGAAAAUUUCUUCAACAGCAGAAAAGGAUAUACGGGGAAAGGUGAGUUUCCCUCCCGCGCCAACGCCCAGAGCCCCUUCCCAGAGACAGCCGCGGAGAAUAGGUUCAUGGGUGACCCUUCCCCAAGUCUUUUCCUCACUCAGCAUCCAGAUGGGUCCUUCGGAAAUGUGACACAGAUUACGGCACAACCUCUGCCCUCCAGGGGCUUCCCAUCAUUCUCCGGAUAUCAUUCUACAUCCUACUGUGGCGACAAAGCCCUACGUGAGCUGGACCCAGUCGCCUGCCCCUGCCUCAUUCCCACGGCUCUCCCCCACCCUGUCCCCUUGCAGCCUCUCUGGCCUCCCCGGCCUCCUCUGACACCCCAUGGCUCAUCUCAUGACUUGCUGUACCUCUGCCUAGAAUGUCCCUAGAGCCUCCGACUCUCCUGCUGGAGUUCUCUCCUUAAAUACCACCUCCUCCGAGGGCCUUCCUGGGCUGCCUGCGCCGCCUUCCUUCCUCUGUUCUCCCAAUCUGAGGCUUCCUACCCGACUCCAGCCCACAGCCCCAGGCUUUGUGGUAAUGUAACUGUUGUAAACUUAAAAUUCUGGCCGGGCGUGGUGGCUCAUGCCUGUAAUCCCAGCACUUUGGGAGUUCGAGGCGGGCAGAUCACUUGAGGCCAGGAGUUCAAGACCAGCCUGGCCAACAUGGCCAAACCCCGUCUCUACUAAAAAUACAAAAAUUAGCUGGGCGUGGUGGAGUGCGCCUGUAGUCCCAGUUACUCUGGAGGCUGACGUGGGAGGAUGGCUUGAACUCGGGAGGCAGAGGGUGCAGUGAGCUGAGAUCACACCACUGCACUCCAGCCUGGGUGACAUAGCAAGACUCUGUCUCCCAAAAAAAAAAAAAAAAUCCUAAGCCCCCCCAGUGACUGAACAGACUCCCUCUUGGCCAAGGGGACCCCAGAAAAACCUUAAAACUUGAGUUCCUGGCCAUGAUAGGAUGGGAGGUCAGACAUGCCUCAUUAUACGUCUUUACCUUUUACAGUUCAGACACUGACCAGCAUUCAUGUUAAAAUAGAGAUCAUAAGACUGACAGAACGGACCCUUUAUGGAAGUAAGAUACCAAAUUAUAAAUAGAACUAAGGUCAUGCCAGGCAAGUGCAGAUAAACAAGCACUGGCCUCAGGAUAAGCAGUGUUGAAACAUUUGGAAGCUCCUGCAGAUGCUGAAUAACUGACCUCCAGCCUCUGUUCCACCAGCCACAACUACAGCUUUGAUUGGAGAAGAGACUGAUUUCAGCCACUUUCUCCUGGUAUAAAAGCCUGCCGUUGGUGGAAAAGGAAAAGGUGGUCCAGUUAGACAAGAUGCCACCGGCUUCUGAAACCAGACAUCUUUGAAAACCCACCCAUCUACCUGCAGGAAAAGAGACAGGGUUUCACUAUGUUGGCCAGGAUGUUCAACAACUUCUGCCUUCAAGCGAUCUUCCCUCCUGGGCCUCCCCAAGUGCUGAGUUUACAAGCAUCAGCCACCACACCCAGCCUAUGACAUUUUCUUCAUUAUGGCUGGUACUGCCUCAUGAAAAGGGGGUUCCUCAUGCUGGAUCUGAACAACCCAGCACAGGCAAGUCUGGGGAGCAAGGCAGGAGCCUGCAUGUGGACUCAAAGGACCGGCACCCGAAACAAAGCAGUGGCUGGCACAGGUGGACAAACCAGGCAAGAAAAGCAACUGUCCUUCGGAGCAGAGUCCACGUGAUGGGAAGAAACAGACACAGUCUCACUCUGUUGCCCAGGCUGAAGUCAACGGCAUGAUCUCAGCUCACUGCAACCUCCACCUCCUGGGUUCAAGCAAUUCUCGUGCCUCAGCCUCCCAAGUAGCUUGGAUUACAGGUGUGUGCCACUAUGCCUGGCUAAUUUUGGCAUUUUUAUUAAAGACGGGGUUUCACCAUGUUGACCAAGCUGGUCUUGAACUGCUGACCUUAGGUGAUCCAACCACCUCGGCCUCCCAAAGUGCUGGUAUUACAGGUGUGAGCCACCUUGCCAAGCCAUCCCUCACCUUUUAAUAUUUCUUUUUUUCUUCUCUCUAGCCUUCUUUUGAGAUUCAGUUCGUUUAUUUCUUUUCUUUCUCAUUUCAUUUAUUCCUCCACUGACUUGGAAACUGUAUGUUCUGUUUCCAUUAUUUAGUGGUUAUUUUAAACACUGUAAGAUGGUAGGAGUUCCUCAAUGAGUUACUCCCUCCCUCCCUUCCUUCUUCCCUUUAAUACCACACAUCAAGGAAAACCCAACCCAAGUAGCUUCGAACUAUGUGAAUCUAGGGCAGCAGUUUUCAAAGCACUGUCUGUGAGGUCAAAACUAUUCAUAAUGCUAUUAAAAUGCUGAUUGCUCUCUUCACCUUCAUUAUCUCACAAAUAAUGUGCACAGUGGAGGUUUUGAGAGCUACGUGACGUGAUAUCAUGACGGAAUGAAUGCAGACCAGAUAGGAAAAUACAGCUGUCUUCUAUUAAGCCAGGCAUUAAAGAGAUCUGCAAAAAUGUAAAACAAUGCCACUGUCACGAAUUUUUUGAAGAUAUAGUUGUUUUUUCUAGGAACGUGUCAUUUAUAUUAACAUGUAAUGGUUUUAUGGUUAUUAUUAUUAUAAGAUAAGUUAAUACACAUUUUUAAAUUUUUCUGUUUUAACUUUGUUUUUUUUUUGUUUUUUUUUUUUGUUUUUUUUGAUACGCAGUUUCACUCUUGUUGCCAAGGCUGGAGUACAGUGGUGUGAUCUCGG
rnacentral:lncRNA from 1 species